rnacentral:lncRNA from 1 species
AUGGAAGAGUCAGAGACGUCUUUGGUAAAAUGUAAAGGAUAUUCUCUUCAAUAUGAUACCAUUGAUGUUGACUUUUUAGAAAAUUUAGAUGAGUUUGAAAUUAGAGAUGAUGAUGUCUUCAUAGUCACAUACCCCGAAUCUGGAGCUAUCUGGUGUCAGCAGAUAUUAAGCUUGAUUUAUUUUGAAGAACAUUGGAAGAGAACUGAACAUCUGAAAACACUGUAUCAAGCUCCCUUUCUUGAGUACAGCGGCAAAAACAUGAAUUUUUGUGAAAGACCAUCUCCUCAUCUCUUUGCAACCCACCUCCCAUACUAUUUGGUUCCAAGAGGGAUAAAGAACGAAAAAGUCAAAAUGAUAUAUCUAUACAGAAACCCGAAGGAUGCUAUGUGCUCAUAUUUUCGUUUUUCAAAGAUGAUGACAAUGUGUAAGCCUACAGCUACCACUGAGGAUUUUAUGAAACAAUUUUUAGAAGGAAAAGUGGUAGGAAGCCUUUGAUUUGGCCAUAUCAAAUGUUGGUAUGAGCACAAAAGCCACUUCAACAUUCAGUUCAUAAUGUAUGAGGAGAUGAAGAAGGAUCUCAGAGGUUCUGUAUUAAAACUCUGCAAGUUUCUGGGGAAAUAACUGAGUGAGGAGGCCAUGGAUGCCACAUGGAGGCCACAUUUGAGAACAUGAAGGAUGACCCACUAGCAAAUUAUGCAAACCUACUAAACAUUAGAAUUAGGAGAAAAAGUAAAGAAGGGCAUUUCCUUCACAAAAACACCAUUGGAGACUGAAAAAUUUACAUGACUUUUGAGCAGAAUGAAAGGUUUGACAAGAUUUUCUGAAGGCAGAUGAAAGAUUUUCCACUGAUGUGGAAUAUGGGAUACAAAUGAAAUUCAUCUGUGAUACAAAUGAAGUAUAGAAUUCUAAGCUGAGC